rnacentral:tRNA from 1 species
GUCAGGGUAGCUCAGCUGGCUAGAGCGCUGGUCUCAUAAGCCGGAGGUCGAGAGUUCAAGUCUCUCCCUUGACACCA